rnacentral:rRNA from 1 species
UGAGACUCUGUGCGCGUGCAUAUCAAUAAGCGGAGGAAAAGAAACUAACAAGGAUUCCCUUAGUAACGGCGAGUGAAGCGGGAAGAGCUCAAAUUUGAAAUCUUCAAGGUUCUACCUUGACGAAUUGUAGUUUAUAGAAGUGUUUUCUGUUAGUAGAGUGGCAAAAGUUCUUUGGAAUAGGACAUCAUAGAGGGUGAGAAUCCCGUAUUUGUACAGUUACUUUCUAGCUGUGUGAUACACUUUCAACGAGUCGGAUUGUUUGGGAAUGCAGUCCAAGAUGGGUGGUAAAUUUCAUCUAAAGCUAAAUAUUGGCGAGAGACCGAUAGCGAACAAGUACCGUGAGGGAAAGAUGAAAAGAACUUUGAAAAGAGAGUUAAACAGUACGUGAAAUUGUCAAAAGGGAAGCGUUUGACACCAGUGUUGUUUCGUCGAAAAUCAAUUACAAUAGUUUUGAUUUUAAGUAGUUAUGACUUCAUCAGCUUGCUGCCUUUCUUUACAGAAACUUUCUUGAAUGCACUUUUCAGUUAACAAGUCAACAUCAAUUUCUUUUGUUGUAAAAGGGUAUGAGGAAGGUGGCUUGCGCUUUCGGAUAAAGUGUUUAUAGCCUUUAUCCUCUGCAAUCGGAGAGAUUGAGGUCUGCAGCGUAGAUCCUUCGGGGUUAGAUACAUUGGUGCUAAGUUAUAGCUUGUCAUAGACAACUUGUUGACUAUGUUCAGUCAUUGUAGCUUACUCGCUGACUGCUAUUUUACCUACGCUUAGGAUGUUGACAGCAGUAUAGACUGU